rnacentral:rRNA from 1 species
CUGCAGCCCGAGUGGUGAUUGAUUUUAUUGAGCCUAAAGCGUCCGUAGCCGGACUAGUAAACCCUUGGGUAAAUUGGGCAGCUUAACUGUCCAAAUUCCGAGGGGACUGCUAGUCUUGGGACCGGGAGAGGUCAGAGGUACUCAAGGGGUAGGGGCUAAAUCCUGUAAUCCUUUGGGGACCACCAGUGGCGAAGGCGUCUGACUAGAACGGAUCCGACGGUAAGGGACGAAACCCUGGGGCGCGAACCGGAUUAGAGACCCGAGUAGUCC